CCUCUUUCCAGCACAGCUCAUCGUGACGUUUGUGGGAUGUCCCCAGCACCCUCCAUUCCCCUUUACACACAGGAGUUUCAAGGAGCUGGGAUGAAAAGCCUUGAGGGAAAGCCUUCACCACAGAGGUGAUGUGAUGAAGAAGAAUGAAAACACAAGAAGCACCUUGAGUUUGAACAAGUGUAACAAAGGUUUGCAGGUUUCAGAACCUGUAAGCACAGCAAAUCACUCUGCUCCUACUGAAAUAAAGCCCCAAACACCAGAGGCAAGAAUUGCAUCUGCUGAAUGCAGGGAAUGACCUUGAAGGAAAAAGGAAGGACACAUUUCUCAGCAGGAUAAAGAGAAAAAAGUGAUGGAGCUGCUUGUGGAUAGAUGAAUUUUUUAAAAAGGAGCUUUAUCAGACACCCACUAGCCAGAGGCAAACAUGCUCUGGAGCCCAGGUUCAGGAAUAUCCAAAUAAAUUGCAUUCCCUGCAGCUGGAGACCGGAAAGAUCAGGAAGAAAGCUCCAUGAGGCUCUUCCCUAACACAGAAUCUUUUAAGGGAUCUUGUAGAUUUGCUGUAUUUAAAACUGGAACUGCUGCUGGUCUCUACUCCACACUCAGCCCCAGCUGCCAUAAACCUUUAUCAGGAACCUGCCAACACAGCUAGCCAGAUUCCAGGAGCACAAAUUCCACCAGGGAGUACAAAGUAUAUCCAACAGCAAAAGCUUCCACGAAGCAUAAUUGAGCACAGAAAAUGACAUGUUAAAACGAGCAGGAACUGGCUGGCCUCGGAUGUAAAUUCAUUCAUACUUUUACUUUCUUUUUUUAAAUAUCUGUGCUGCUCGCUCUGGCUUGUUAUGACAGGCUGAGGCAUCGAAGGAGUUUUCUGUCCUCAUCCUGGGCACAGAAACACAAAUCCUGCCCUGGAAUUACUACUUCCCUCACAACCUGCAGGAGGGACAGCCCAGCAACAGCAUCCAAGGCAGGGAAGGGCUCAGAUUGGUAAGGAAGAGCCACAAGAUCUCCCCACUUGGCUUAACACAUCUUCAGUAGCUCUGAUGAACAUUAAAUAGGAAAGAAUCUCAGAAAUAGAGAACUAAUUAAAAUUCACAAGGUUAAAGAAAGGGAGGAGAUGAAGCACCUGGGAAGAAAAAAACAGAAAAAAAGAAGCUGACAAAUUGGAAGGAAGAAGGAAUCGUCAGAAGGCAGAGCUUUGGAGGAGAGGGUGGAAGAUAGAAAAUCACAGAAUCACAGAACAUUCUGAGCAGUAAGGGACCCACAAGGACACCCCACAAAGGCAAAGCAG